UAAGAGGCGUCGGUUUGAGCUGCUCUCAGAACCUCAGUCUGGGGACCUGACCUCUGUCACUCUCAUGAAAUGGGGGAAGAAGGUAGCCUGUGGCUCCAGUGAAGGUACCAUCUACCUCUUCAAUUGGAAUGGCUUUGGGGCCACAAGUGACCGCUUUGCCCUGAGAGCUGAAUGUAUCGACUGCAUGGUUCCAGUCACCGAGAGUCUGCUGUGUACUGGCUCCACUGAUGGAGUCAUCAGGGCUGUGAACAUCCUACCGAACCGAGUGGUGGGCAGUGUGGGCCAGCACACUGGGGAGCCUGUGGAGGAGCUGGCCCUCUCCCACUGUGGCCGCUUCCUGGCCAGUAGUGGCCAUGACCAGCGCCUCAAGUUUUGGGACAUGGCCCAGCUGCGAGCUGUGGUGGUGGAUGACUACCGUCGGCGCAAAAAAAAGGGAGGACCACUGCGGGCUCUGAGCAGCAAGACUUGGAGCACCGAUGACUUCUUCGCAGGAUUGAGGGAAGAGGGAGAAGACUCCAUGGCUCAGGAAGAAAAGGAGGAGACUGGGGAUGACAGUGACUGAAGGAAUGAAUUGAAUCUUGAGACGGGUCCUCACCAGGGUGCCUGUGGAGAAAGAAUGGAGUCACUGUUUAACCAUGGUACCUGCCUCAGCCCCAGCAGACCACAGGAGGUUGGCCCCAGACUCACUGAGUGCCUGCAGCAGCCGUACAGACACAGCAUCCUUGGCCACCUCAUGCCCAUCCCGGCCAUCUAGGGUCAGCACAACCCAGAUGAGGCCGCUGAAGGGCACCGGAUGCCCAGGAAUCACCACCUGGUACCAGAAGCGGUGCCAGCCAGCAGGUCCUAUGCCCAAACACUUGGUGAGGAACACAGGGCUGCCCAGCUUCAUUCGUUGGCACAGCAACUGCAGGGUAGCCCGAGCCCCUUGGAACCCUAACUUGUCCCUUGCCAAAGCCAACUGGCUGCCCUCUGGCUGUGGGGACCGCAAGAAGGGACCCACAAGCUGCUGGCGAAGUCGCUGCUUCAGGUCUGGCUUGAGCCACUCCACAGCCACCUGCUCUCCACAGAGGUGUGACUGCCCUGUAGGAAAAAUGCAAAGACAAGGGCAGGUCUAAACCCUGGGCCCAAGCCUCCAGGUUGUGAGCCCUUUGGAGCUACACAGUCCUGUAAUUUGUAGCCUUCCCAUUUCCUGGUAGUGUGACCAUGGGUAAGAAAAGACAAUGAAGCCUUCAGCCUCCAUUAUUUGCAAAGGGAGUAUAUAACACACUGCUACCUUACAAGUUUCCUUGGAGAAGUACUGGUUAAUUGCAGGCUUUGUCUGCCUCAUAACCAUCAUAAUGGCUAAUCUUUACUGGGAAAACUUGCUGUAAGUCAGUCAGUGUGCUAAGUACCGUACACCCAUUAUGUUACUUAAUUCUCCUAACAGUCUGAGGAAACAGAUUCUAUAGUAGUAAAAAGCUCAGUUGGAUUCCCUUGAGCAAAUCAAUUUCUCUAACAGUUUCCUCAUAGCUUGAGGGUCCUGUGCCUAUUUUGCGGUGUGGGAGUGGGGGAAGGUUGAGAAUUAAGUCAGGAGGUAAUGCUCGGAAAGUGUCACAAAUUUAGGUAAGCGGUGGUGGUAGCACCAUUGGAAGUUUUAAAAAUCUGAGAUCAAAUAGUAAAAGGUUGCAAAUUCUGGCAUGUUUGACUCUAAGAUCUUGU
rnacentral:sRNA from 1 species